AACGUAGGAGGCGAGCGUUAUCCGGAUUCACUGGGCGUAAAGCGCGUGUAGGUGGUUGAUCAAGUCGGAUGUUAAAGCCCCUGGCUCAACUAGGGGAGGCCAUCCGAAACUGAUCGACUUGAGGGUAACAGAGGAGAGUGGAACUCCCGGUGUAGCGGUGGAAUGCGUAGAGAUCGGGAAGAACACCAGUGGCGAAGGCGACUCUCUGGGUUACAUCUGACACUGAGACGCGAAAGUGUGGGUAGCAAACGGG
rnacentral:rRNA from 1 species